GCGCUUCAGUUUCAUAACCGAUUUUUAAUUAUUUUUUUAUUGUCCUGCAUUAUAUAAACCCCAGCGAGUAAAUUAUUCCAUUCUGACUAAGCAAUUGAUAAUCAUAAGAAAAUUUUGUUUUUGUUUCUAAGAUGUCGAAAUUAUUGAUUUUCUUUUUUAUGGUUGCCUUGUUGGCUUUCGCGUCCUCUGUAGCCGCGGAGUGUGUCCCUAAAGGUCAACGAUGUAUAUGGGGACAAUCUACAUGUUGUGAAGGUUAUUGCAUAAUUAAGGAAACUAAUAAUGGAAUGUGUUACUAGAUAAGAAUUGUUUGUUUCAUUAUAUCUGCUUAACAAAAAUUAAAUUUUAUGUCAAUUA